CAUGAUAACAGCUAAAGCAACAUGCUUUCCAUCCUUGUCGUGAGAGGGGAGUGUCUUGGUGAGGAACUUGUUUCUGAUUUUCAGCUGACAUCUUCCUUUCCUCUCCAUUUCAUUCCCGUUACUUCUAUAGUAUGGAUACUGCCUGGGCCCUAACCAAACAGUUCCUCUCUCUCUCUGUGGCCAGCUCCUGCUCACACGCACGGAUCUGGUGUGUGAUAUCCAUCCAGCUCUGCCAAUGUAUUCCCCCGCAAGGCUGUCACUUGCUUUUCUAGCUCAUUAAUCAUCUUUGUUGCUUUUCUCUGAAUUUUCUCUGAGUUGAUCUCUCGUUUCCUGGACAGAGGAACACAGAACAGCUGCUGCUUCACAGGCAAAGUACUGAAGAGAGCUCUUCUGUCUGGUCACAAAAUCGUCCUUCUCCUCCCAAGCACGUCGUAGUGACUGCACCUGGGGCUGCGUGGAAAUGCUAUCAGCUUCCAAGGAGCUUGGUGCGUGGGGAUGCAUGCCAUCAGUCUCACGAUAAUGGAUGAUCGUCCUGAAUAAUACAAGAUUCUCUGAACAUUGCUUUCAUGCUGUGAUGUAAUUGCAUUGCUGAUUGUACAAGGGUUUAAAUGAAGAUUUUGAGAUGAGAAAAUUAUCCUGGAUUAUUCAGGUGGGUCCUAAAUACCAUCACAAGUGUCCUUACAAGGAAGAGGCAGCAGGAGAUGGGACACACAGUAAAGGUGAUAAUGAAGAUGGAGGUGGAGAUUGGAGGGAUGCGGCCACAAGCCAAUGAAUGCCUGCAGCUACCAGAAGCCACAGAGAGCUCCGCUAGAGCCUCUGGAGGGAGCUUGGCCCUGUCAACACCUUGAUUUGAACCCAGUGAAACAAAUUUCCAACUUCUGUCCUCCUGGACUGUGAAGUAAUAAAUUUCUGUUUUUUUAAGCUACC
rnacentral:lncRNA from 10 species